rnacentral:rRNA from 1 species
GACGAACGCUGGCGGCGUGCCUAAUACAUGCAAGUAGAACGCUGAAGGAGGAGCUUGCUCUUCUGGAUGAGUUGCGAACGGGUGAGUAACGCGUAGGUAACCUGCCUGGUAGCGGGGGAUAACUAUUGGAAACGAUAGCUAAUACCGCAUAAAAUUGAUUAUUGCAUGAUAGUCAAUUAAAAGGUGCAAUUGCAUCACUACCAGAUGGACCUGCGUUGUAUUAGCUAGUUGGUGAGGUAACGGCUCACCAAGGCAACGAUACAUAGCCGACCUGAGAGGGGGAUCGGCCACACUGGGACUGAGACACGGCCCAGACUCCUACGGGAGGCAGCAGUAGGGAAUCUUCGGCAAUGGACGGAAGUCUGACCGAGCAACGCCGCGUGAGUGAAGAAGGUUUUCGGAUCGUAAAGCUCUGCUGUAAGAGAAGAACGAGUGUGAGAGUGGAAAGUUCACACUGUGACGGUAUCUUACCAGAAAGGGACGGCUAACUACGUG